rnacentral:rRNA from 1 species
UACGAGGGGGGCUAGCGUUGCUCGGAAUCACUGGGCGUAAAGCGCACGUAGGCGGAUUCUUAAGUCGGUGGUGAAAGCCUGGAGCUCAACUCCAGAACUGCCUUCGAUACUGAGAGUCUUGAGUCCGGGAGAGGUGAGUGGAACUGCGAGUGUAGAGGUGAAAUUCGUAGAUAUUCGCAAGAACACCAGUGGCGAAGGCGGCUCACUGGCCCGGUACUGACGCUGAGGUGCGAAAGCGUGGGGAGCAAACAGG